UGGGGAAUAUUGCGCAAUGGGGGAAACCCUGACGCAGCAACGCCGCGUGAAGGAUGAAGGUUUUCGGAUUGUAAACUUCUUUGACGAGGGACGAAACAUGACGGUACCUCGAAAACAAGCCACGGCUAACUACGUGCCAGCAGCCGCGGUAAUACGUAGGUGGCGAGCGUUGUCCGGAAUUACUGGGUGUAAAGGGCGAGUAGGCGGGACGGCAAGUCAGGUGUGAAAUUUAUGGGCUUAACCCAUAAACUGCAUUUGAAACUGCUGUUCUUGAGUGAUGGAGAGGCAGGCGGAAUUCCUAGUGUAGCGGUGAAAUGCGUAGAUAUUAGGAGGAACACCAGUGGCGAAGGCGGCCUGCUGGACAUUAACUGACGCUGAGGCGCGAAAGCGUGGGGAGCAAACAGG
rnacentral:rRNA from 1 species